UGUGGUAACUAAGUAAAAGCUUGGAAACUUACCUUGCUUCACCUUGGAGAGUUAGCCACGACCAAGGAACUUCUGGAUAAGGAAUGAGCAGUCUUGAUAAGGUUUCCUUACAGCUAGAGAGGCUGGAGACAGGCUGUAAAGUAGACAGCAUCUAGUAAAAGAUGCCAAAGGGAUCAAGCAUGUGAAGACUACCAUUGGCUGCUUUUGGAUGGCUCUCUUUGACUACACAUGCUCUGAAUCUCUACCCUAUCAGAUAUAUUUCGAAAAUUGAUUGUCUCACUCAUAUAAAUAUGUUGUAAACCUCAUCUUUAAUAAUUAAUGGAGUUUUGAGUAUUCUCUCUAUUCUCUCUCUACUUAUUCUCUUAAUCUCUUUAAUCUUACACAAAACAAUCUGAUUGUUCUUAAACACACUCUAAUACACAAAAAUGUAUAUGGUAUCAGAGCCAGGUUACUAAAAGGGUGGAAGUGUGUUACUCAUGUUCUUAAAAAUCUGGUUUUGUGUUCUUGAGCUGUUCUUGAUGUUCUUGAGUGUUCUUGGUGGUUUUGAGCUCUGUUCUUAUUUUGCUGGGUUUUAUUGAGGACAUCUGAUGGAGUCAAACGUGAGCAGAGAGAUGAAGACAAAAGUUAUCAAGUGAAGAAAGGGAGAGAAAACGAGUGGAUCUGGUCAGGUUGGGUAGAGACAGCUUUGGAAAGCUGUGGGAUUUGGAGUAAUCAUGUAAAGGAAGAGCCUUUGAAGGUGAGAGCUGCUGAGAAAGAUCAGACAGCAAGUUUGAAGGAGAUUCAAGUAAAGGUAGAACCUUUAAAGGAGGUAGCUGCUGAAGAAGGUCAGACAGCAAGGUUGGAGGUUCAUGAAGCCAAGGGCGUGAUCUAUAGUCUAAGACAAGGGAAGGACGAGUUGUAUCAGCUUGUGGGGAGGCUGAGAGAAGUAGAAUCAGAGUUGGGUAUGGUGAAAACUCAUACAGGAAGGAGGAAGCAAGAUGUGAUCUUUAGCUUUCUUAUGGGAGAGAUAUGUGAGCUGGUUGAACACAUUUGUAAUGUGUGGGAGAUAAAUAAGAAGCCAGAUAGAUGGAAGAGAGGUACAAGCUGCAAGAAGGGAGAAUCUGUAGAGAGCAGUGGGUUUAUGAGGAAGCCAGAGACCAAAGGAGCGGAUGAGCGUGUUACAAAGGAGGAAUGGGAUGAGUUUGUCAAGUAUGUGUAUGCUUUGGCUACGACCCGGAGACAAGGUGCUCCUGCCAAAGCAUCCACAUCCAACAAACCCAUCAUUGUUGAUUCUGGAGCAAGUCAUCACAUGAUUAGUGACAGAAGCUUAAUGAGUGAUGUAAAGAAAGCCACUGGGGGUGUGAUGAUAGCUAAUGGUGAUAGGAUUCCAAUAGAAGGAGUUGGAAAGCUCAAGCUAUUUGAUAAAGACUCAGAUGCCUUCUACAUGCCACAGUUUGCUUCAAAUCUACUAUCUGUGAGGAAAGCCACGAUUGAUCUUGGCUGUCAAGUAGUAUUCAGGCCAGAUGAUGUUGAGUUCCAAGAUUUAAAGACUGGAAGGGUCAUUGGGAGAGGAGACAGCAAGAAUAAUCUAUACCAGCUCCAAUUGGCUAAGAUCUCUAAACCCUUUGAUUCUAUGUGUUUGAGUAGUACUUAUGAGAAGAUUGAUAGUAUUACUUGGCAUGCUAGAUUGGGACAUCCUCAUGCUCGUGCUAUUGAAUUGAUAAUUCCUAAUAUGUCAUUUAAUCACUUGGAGUGUGAAGCAUGCAUAUUAGGAAAGCAUUGUAGGACUGUUUUUCCAACAUCAAAAACUACUUAUGAGCAUUGCUUUGAUCUAGUUCAUUCAAAUAUUUGGACGGCUCCUUGUUUGUCUAGAGAUAGCCAGAAGUACUUUGUGACAUUCAUUGACGAGAAGUCUAAGUAUACUUGGCUUACAUUGCUUCCAUCUAAAGAUAGGGUGCUAGAAGCAUUUAUGAACUUCCAAGCAUAUGUAUCUAAUCAAUACAAUGCUACUGUGAAGGUACUGAGAUCAGAUAAUGGAGGUGAAUACAUCAGCAAUGCCUUCAAGAGUCAUCUAGCCAAGCAUGGGAUUGUGCAUCAGACUAGCUGUCCUUAUACACCACAGCAGAAUGGUGUAGCUGAGAGGAAGAACAGGCACUUGAUGGAGGUUGCUAGAUCGAUGAUGUUUGAUGCAAAUGUACCGAAACGCUUUUGGAGUGAUGCUGUGCAGACUGCUUGCUAUCUCAUCAACCGGGUUCCAACCAAGAUAUUGAAGAAUCUGUCUCCAUUUGAAGUGUUGAACAAGAGCAAACCUGUCAUUGAUCACCUACGUGUCUUUGGGUGUGUGUGCUAUGUCAUGGUUCCAGGAGAGCAGAGAAACAAGCUGGAGGCAAAGAGUACUAAGGCUAUGUUCAUUGGUUACUCUAUCACUCAGAAGGGGUACAAGUGCUAUGAUCCUGAAGCAAGGAGGGUGAUGGUAUCUAGAGAAGUGAAGUUUGUUGAAACAAAAGGUUAUUAUGAAGAAAAGGAGUGGGAAAAUCUGAAAGAUUUGUCUCAAGCUCUAUCUGAUAAGGCAACAAUACUGAGAGUGUUGUUGGAGAAGCUUGGGAUAGGGUUAUCCCAGGAUCAGGAACCAGGAAGGAGAGAGCCUUCCAAUCAGACUGGUGGAGCUGGAAGAACAACUCCUCUUGAUCAUGAGAGGGGGAAUGGAACUGAAUCUGGUGAGCAAGAGCAAAACCAAGAGAAUUCAGGUCUUCAUGAUCAAGAUAUAUCACAAGAAGUUGAGAACAAUGUUCAGUCUAGUGGAAAAGUGGAUGAGGUUCAGUCUAGUGGAGAAGUGGAUGAGGUUCAAUCUAGUGGAGAAGAACAAGUUGGACCGGCCAGUUCAAAAGAAGAGCAAGUGGAGCCGGCUAGUGUGCAAACUGAAGAUCAUGUUCAAGCCUUGAGGAGGAGCACAAGGAUAAAGAGGGAUCCUUCCAACUGGGUAAACACGAGAGUGUACUACAAUGCCCAGGCUGUGGAGCAUCCUUCUCAAGCCUUGUGUUCCUUUGCUGAGUUUCCAGAGGAGCAUUAUGCCUUUAUGAUUAGUCUGGAUGAGAGUUAUGUACCAAGAACUUAUGAAGAAGCUAUGUUAGACAAGGAAUGGAAAGAAUCAGUGGGAGCUGAAGCAGGUGCUAUGAUCUAAAAUGAUACAUGGUAUGAAAGUGAGCUGCCUAAAGGAAAGAAGGCUGUAUCUAGUAGAUGGAUCUUCACAAUCAAGUAUCUAGCAAAUGGACAGAUUGAUAGGAAGAAGACUAGAUUGGUUGCAAGAGGAUUUACACAGACCUAUGGAGAAGAUUACAUUGAUACCUUUGCACCAGUAGCUAAGCUGCACACAGUUCAGAUUGUGUUGUCCAUUGCAACAAACUUGGAGUGGGAUUUGUGGCAGAUGGAUGUGAAGAAUGCUUUCUUACAAGGUGAGCUAGAAGAUGGGGUAUACAUGCUUCCUCCUCCUGGUCUUGAGCAUCUAGUAAAACCAGGGAAUGUUUUGAGAUUGAAGUCUGAACUUGAUCAUACACUCCUAGAGCUUGGUACAGGAAGCUGAGUACAACUCUCAAUGGGAGAGGAUUCAGGAAGUCUGAACUUGAUCAUACACUCUUCACUUUGGUUACUCCAUCAGGGAUCAUUGUGAUACUGGUAUAUGUGGAUGAUUUGAUUAUCACAGGGAGUGAUAAGGCUGGGAUUAAAGCCACUAAAGAGUUCCUCAAGUCUGUGUUUGAUAUCAAAGACUUGGGAGAGAUGAAGUAUUUCUUGGGGAUUGAGAUAUGCAGAUCCAAGGAGGGUUUGUUUAUGUGUCAAAGGAAGUAUACAAUGGAUAUGCUGAAGGAGUCUGAUGUACUUGGAGGAAAGGUAGCCAAGACACCUCUUGAAGAGGGGUAUAAGGUCUUACGUGAGGGGGAGGUUGAAGAGAACCAGUUGUUUGAGGAUGCUAAGCUGUAUAGGAAGAUGGUUGGCAAGCUGAUCUACUUGACUAUUACCAGGCCAGAUAUAUGCUUUGCUGUGAAUCAAGUGAGUCAACAUAUGCAGGCGCCAAAGGUCCAUCACUGGAAGAUGGUUGAUAGGAUACUGAGGUAUCUGAGUGGGACGGCUGGACAAGGAGUUUGGAUGGGCUGUAAUGACAGUACAGAAGUGGUUGGGUAUUGUGAUGCUGAUUGGGCAGGAGAUAGAGUGGACAGGAGAUCAACUACUGGGUAUUGUACAUUCAUUGGAGGGAACUUGGUUACUUGGAAGAGUAAGAAGCAGAAGGUUAUCUCUUGUUCAAGUGCUGAAGGUGGGUAUAGAGCCAUGUUGGAGCUGACAAACGAGUUGGUGUGGAUUAAAGGGAUCUUGAAGCAUCUAGAGAUUGAGCAGAGCACUCCUAUGACUAUGCAUUGUGACAAUCAAGCAGCUAUCCACAUUGCCUCCAACUCAGUGUUUCAUGAGAGAACAAAGCACAUAGAGGUGGAUUGUCAUAAGGUGAGGCAGAUGAUUAUCUUAGGAGUGAUUCUACCAUGUUAUACAAGAAGUGAAGAUCAGCUUGCAGAUGUGUUUACCAAGGCAGCGAGAUUGAAGACAAUGGAGUCCAUACUAUCCAGGCUUGGACUCAUUGAUCUUACUCCCAGGAGCUGAACCCCUUAACCAUGGAAUCUCCACUCUUUUUCCCUCAUCAAAGUUUUAUCCCAAUGGGUUUUCUUUGGUGAGGUUAUUAAUGAGGGAGGUCUUCAUGGUUUCCAAGCUUGACUUGUUCCACAUGGUCAAGCUUGAGGGGGAGUGUUGAGAUGAGUGUUGAGAUGAGGUAAUAAAGAAUGAAUACAUUGAUAGAGAAAGAGGAUUGAGACAUACAGUAACUUUGGAGUUUUACCACAGUAACUUUGUUUUACUGUGGUAACUAAGUAAAAGCUUGGAAACUUACCUUGUUUCACCUUGGAGAGUUAGCCACGACCAAGGAGCUUCUGGAUAAGGAAGGAGCAGUCUGGAUAAGGUUUCCUCACAGCUAGAGAGGCUGGAGACAGGCUGUAAAGUAGACAGCAUCUAGUAAAAGAUGCCAAAGGGAUCAAGCAUGUGAAGACUCCCAUUGGCUGCUUUUGGAUAGCUCUCUUUGACUACACAUGCUCUGAAUCUCUACCCUAUCAUAUACAUUUCGAAAAUUGAUUGUCUCACUCAUAUAAAUAUGUUGUAAACCUCAUCUUUAAUAAUUAAUGGAGUUUUGAGUAUUCUCUCUAUUCUCUCUCUACUUAUUCUCUUAAUCUCUUUAAUCUUACACAAAACAAUCUGAUUGUUCUUAAACACACUCUAAUACACAAAAAU
rnacentral:lncRNA from 1 species